rnacentral:lncRNA from 12 species
GUGGAGCCCCUCCCCCCAUGCCUUUGCUCCAUGUCUACUUAAAGUUCGGGUGCUCUUCAAAGCCCAAGUGAAGCCUUGCUGCUUCUUGAAACCUUCUCAUUGACCCUCUAGCUCUCGUGACCUCUUGCUUUUUCAUUUCCCUUUUUUUUCUCAUAUUGUCUGGACCCAAUUAUUUUUGCCUCCUUCUACUGCAGCCUGUCUUCUAUUAUUCUGUAACGUGUGUUGGCUCUAUAUUAUAUCUCCACGUGUUCAGGGACUGAAAAUCUUCAUGUCUUGGUGAGGCCAUCCCUUACUUCUGCUGUACAGAGCUCCCUCCAGACCCAUUUUCUUAAUGUAGGUGCAAUAUUUCACUUUUCUUGAUUGUGCUGGUGUCAGACUAGUGUCGGGCACUUAAGAAUGUUACUGGUGUCACGCAGGAACUUCCCACCAGAGUGGACACUCUUCUAGCAAGGGGGCUGCUCCCAGGACCCUUUCAAGCACAGGAUGGAUGCCCAAGGAAGAUGAGUUGAGAUGGCCUCUGGCUGGAAAAUACGGCUUUUAAGCAAGACUGCCUAUGGAUUUGUACUGCUGUGCCCAAGAUUGCAAAUCCGAGAAACCACCAAGGAGCCGACACCUAUAUAAUCGCACAAGGGUUUAAUCACAAGCUCGAGCUUGGGUCCAAGUAUACCCGACACAGCGGAGCAGAGACUUGGACCCCGAGACUAAGAAGCACAGCAGUGUUAUAGGGGCUGGUGGCCAAUGAGAUCGUAACAUACAUAGAAAGUUGCACAGUCAUGUGGGUCCACACGCAGGUGGCCGAUCGAAUCACGAUCCACCCUAUAGUGACCAUUUGAAGUAGCCUAUUAUUCUGGUCAGAAUUGGUGUGCAGGUUUGGUGGGGGCAAAAGACGGGGUUUUCAUUCUUUGGUGGUUAAAGGUCAGAGGUCCCGCAUUCCUAUGUGUGCUGGUUUCUGAUAAGGGUGUGCUUAAUAGCUAAAGGAGGGUGAGGGAGUGCCUUAAACAGCAGGCAGGUCGUGUGGGGGUUUUACAUGAGGCGGCGGGUGUAGCACAAAAUGGAGUUAGUCCUGCUCUGCUUGUCCAGGGGUAGGGGAUUUUUGUUAGAUUUCCUGGGUCCCACAGUACCUUACUGACAGUUGAUGCUUAGAGAACACAUUUUAAGUGGAUGAUGGUCGAGAGGGGAAGGCGGGAAGACGAGUCAGUGAGUAUGUUGUAAGAUUUCCAGUUUGUGUUCGGGGGAGAAGAGAGAAAGGAAGGCAGAGGCCUAAGGCCUCGUUAACUCCAAUGAAGAUGCCACCAGUUGCCGUUGCUUCGGUUUCUCGCAGGCUAUUCUGGAGAAUUGGGAACCCUGGCGAUCUGACCACCUUGUAGUCCUUGCUGAGGAAGUGAGAGGAGAAAACACCCAACACCCAGAAGGGGCCGAGGCUUUAUUGUUCGUCUUUUGUGUGCCUGGCCCGAAGUGAGGCCUUUGGGGACAGGGUGGUGGCUGAGCGGGGGAGU